GGUCGGUUAGCUCAGUUGGCUAGAGCGCGGCAUUGACAUUGCCGAGGCCACAGGUUCGAGUCCUGUACCGACCA
rnacentral:tRNA from 1 species